rnacentral:rRNA from 1 species
CCUACGGGGUGCUGCAGUGGGGAAUAUUGCACAAUGGGGGAAACCCUGAUGCAGCGACGCCGCGUGAGUGAAGAAGUAUUUCGGUACGUAAAGCUCUAUCAGCAGGGAAGAAAAAAGACGGUACCUGACUAAGAAGCCCCGGCUAACUACGUGCCAGCAGCCGCGGUAAUACGUAGGGGGCAAGCGUUAUCCGGAUUUACUGGGUGUAAAGGGAGCGUAGACGGUGCGUCAAGUCUGAAGUGAAAGCCCGGGGCUUAACCCCGGGACUGCUUUGGAAACUGGCGCGCUAGAGUGCUGGAGAGGUAAGUGGAAUUCCUAGUGUAGCGGUGAAAUGCGUAGAUAUUAGGAGGAACACCAGUGGCGAAGGCGGCUUACUGGACAGUAACUGACGUUGAGGCUCGAAAGCGUGGGGAGCAAACAGGAUUAGAUACCCCAGUAGUC